AAAAUAUUAAAAAAAAUUGUUUAAAAAAAAUCAAGAGUUUUCCCCCUCAAUUAUAUGAAAUAAUCGAGGUAAUAUUUGGUUUUUUUAUUUUAAAAAAAUAAAAUAUCACACGCUUUGGAAUCAUAUCACUAGAAUAGUAAUGAUCAUUCGUAUUCAAAACGUAACGUAUCUUUUGAAUUUUCAAGGAGACGUUUGAGUUUCUAUGAUUAUUUCA
rnacentral:lncRNA from 1 species